rnacentral:lncRNA from 1 species
GGAGGUGGAGUCAUGCUACAAUCCCUAUCAGCUGAGGACUCAUGCUCGGAUCCCUAUCUGGUAGUGGAGAGGGUGCCCUAGCUGAUGGCCUAAGUGAUCUUUCCCUUGAGCUUUUAGGAGAGGAUCCCAAGGUCGGGGGAUUCGGCUGUAUAAUCCUUAUGUAGCGCUUGGGCCAUAGAAUCCAACCAUGGAUAGCUUCAACCUAUAUUCUUUUCCCUGUCACCUCCAAGGAUCUCCAGUUCCAAGUCAUCCCAACCAUCGACCACUCGGUCCACCCCAACUUUGGCAUAACCGCAAGCUG